AUGCACGCUGGCGGCGUGCCUAAUCCAUGCAAGUCGCACGCUGGAAAUCUAGCUUGCUCGCUUGAAGGAGUGGCGAACGGGUGAGUAAUACAUAAGCAACCUACCCACGAAGACUGGGAUAAUCUCUGGAAACGGGGACUAAUACCGGAUAGGUAAUCGGAAGGCAUCUUCUGAUUAUUAAAGGUUAAAAACACUGGUGGAUGGGCUUAUGGCGCAUUAGUUAGUUGGUGAGGUAACGGCCCACCAAGACGAUGAUGCGUAGCCGGCCUGAGAGGGUGAACGGCCACAUUGGGACUGAGACACGGCCCAGACUCCUACGGGAGGCAGCAGUAGGGAAUUUUCGGCAAUGGGGGAAACCCUGACCGAGCAACGCCGCGUGAGUGAUGACGGCCUUCGGGUUGUAAAGCUCUGUUGUAAGGGAAGAACGGUAGAUAGAGAAUAUCUAAAUGACGGUACCUUACCAGAAAGCCACGGCUAACUACGUG
rnacentral:rRNA from 1 species